rnacentral:lncRNA from 1 species
GAAAAAGGAAAGAAAAAAGAAGGAACUGGAAAACCACACAGAAAUGAGGCACUGGCUCCCUGUCAUGUUGUCUGGUCAGUAAUAUUUCUUACUGUGAAAUUCCUGCAUGUUCGCAUGUUCAUGUUUAAAUCCUCCCAGAGAGAUUUUGCAUUGGAUCCUAGUUGAACUCAAGAAGGUAGAUGGUUAUGCGGUUUCUCAUAUUUCUUGCUUUUGAGAGGAACGUCUGUUUAUCCAGAGAGCCUUAUCUGGGCUUGGCGACGAGCACAUUCCGCAGCCAGAAGAAGGACCAGACAGGAAAUUGACCCAAAAAAAGGAAUUAAUAAAGCAACAAGUCACUAUACUCUGGACCACCUCAUUUCAGAAUUCUGCUUGAAGCACACUAAAGACUUCAGUGAGACUUUCUGACAGCGUGUGGUAAUGAAACUACCCCAUAAGGAGAUGAAAAACAAGAUAUACUCAAUGGGAGGAGCACAUGCUUGUACUUAAAUUCUUCUGUUUCUCCUUCAGUCAGAUGGGCAAAGGAAAAUGCUGUCCUAUCCCAAGAAAUGCAAAGGCAUAAUCAAGUAUGUCUGUGCCUCUCUUGCCAUUUUGAUAUUGGGAACUCAUCCAGCUGUGAACCAAUAGUCUUAUAUGGAAGAUCAGAACUGCUGCUCCUUCGCUUCUUGAUGUAGGAUCUCUCUAUACACAAGCACUGUGCGCGAGUCUUCCCCUUAAAACUUUGAGCACUGCAUAAAUUCUGCUGGUCAAGAGGCUCAGACUGUGAUUUCAAAAGGUGAGGAAGGUUGCCAUCAACAAUAUCAGAACUGCAUCAGGAAGAACUGUAUGAUGGUGGCUGCGUAGGUCUGCACAGAUAAAUGAAUCCUCAGCUUUAUCGAGGGGGAAAAGAAUCAAGGAGGUGGUAAUGAGAGAAAAGGUGACUGGUGGUAAAGGCUUCCCUUUGCGUUGGAUUCAGUCCAGACUUGAACUCUCAAAGACUGUGAGCUGGAGGCAGCCACAGAACAAUUCAGACUUCUUGAAGAUAAUCUGCAACUUUUAAAGAAUUUUUUGCAGUUGAUGAACCUGCAGUUAGCCACUUCUGUCCUAGGCAUUAAUUGUGAACAAAUGUACUACAGCAUAGGUAUGAGGUUUUCCACAAAAGCAACAAAGUGAAAGGAACCACCUGCCUUAAUCAGUGACAUUGAUUUA